UCAGUCGACUCCUACGGGAGGCAGCAGUGGGGAAUAUUGGACAAUGGGCGCAAGCCUGAUCCAGCCAUGCCGCGUGAGUGAUGAAGGCCCUAGGGUUGUAAAGCUCUUUUGUGCGGGAAGAUAAUGACGGUACCGCAAGAAUAAGCCCCGGCUAACUUCGUGCCAGCAGCCGCGGUAAUACGAAGGGGGGCUAGCGUUGCUCGGAAUCACUGGGCGUAAAGGGUGCGUAGGCGGGUCUUUAAGUCAGGGGUGAAAUCCUGGAGCUCAACUCCAGAACUGCCUUUGAUACUGAAGAUCUUGAGUUCGGGAGAGGUGAGUGGAACUGCGAGUGUAGAGGUGAAAUUCGUAGAUAUUCGCAAGAACACCAGUGGCGAAGGCGGCUCACUGGCCCGAUACUGACGCUGAGGCACGAAAGCGUGGGGAGCAAACAGGAUUAGAUACCCUGGUAG
rnacentral:rRNA from 1 species